rnacentral:lncRNA from 1 species
GGUCCUUUCUCUAGCCUUAGAAAUCGCACGUAGUGAAGUUGGUGUGCGUCCCGCCUCUCACCUCUAUCCCGGCGGUGCGGGGGCCAGGGCACCCUCUCCCGGCUGCGGCGGAGUGGCAGGAAAAGCAGGUCUCUGGGGAUCAUCUGUUGUCCAAAGAAAUUUACACGGUCACCCCCGUAAUUGCAAAUAUAAAGAAAUACACACAGCAGNNNNNNNNNNNNNNNNNNNNGGGGGCUCGGUCUUUUUUGGGUUCAAACUUGGAGGUCAUGACUCACAGCCUGUAUUCCCAACUUAGCCAGAGGAUUUAUUUGUUAACUUGGUUUCAUUAGAAAUCACUUCACUGAGUAUGUAUUUUAAAAAAGAAAACUUUGCUUUUGAGAACAGACCUCAGAAAUAUUUAAGAACCCUUGGACUCAAAGAAAAUCAAAUGCCCACAACAGUUCUGUAACGGCUCACAGAUAAGCUUUUGCAAAACUCAGUCUGCAUAAAAAUUAGGUCGGAACUCAGGUUAAAAAAAAAAAAAAAAAAGAAAGGCAUUGGAAGCCCUGGUCGGAGCUAAGUGGACGGCGGACGCCGGGUUAUCUGUUCGGGUAGAUGCAUUCGAUCGAACCCAGGUUAAAUUUUAAAGCCCCUGGAUUCUGCUCCAGUCGCUAGUUUCCUUUCCAGAGUUUUCUGCCUUCAGUCUUUCGGAAUUGCGGCCGCGCUGAAACGGGGAGCCGCCGCAGUGAUCGGGGGGAGCCUCCCGAGGUCACAUCUGUUGGGAAAAAUCCUUUUUGCGAGUGAAAGGGAGCGAGACAUACAUCACGGCUCCUGCCGAGGACGAACCUGCGGCCCCGCGACGCCCUGCUGACAGAUCGGCGCUGAUAACCCCGCGACGUUCAUUUCCAGCCCCUCUGCCGGCCAAGGACCGUAUCAGUUUGUACACAGUUGUGAUAACCAUUUGGAGGGAGCGAAGAAGGGUUCUCCAGGGAAAGUUCAGAGCAAACGGGACACCCAAACUCGGAGAGCACCUCCGGGCGCGACUGGCGUGGAAACCCCUUUCUACUCUGCGCACUUCAUGGACUAACCUUUCGGUGCACCGUGACCCCGAAUUAAAAGUUUCAGAUCCCAGGAGACAAGACUCCCGACGGCCACCACGACCUGAGCCCCAGAGUCUCGAGAAGAGAUCGGGAGAGUUUAAGGUCGGUCACACACAACUGUGGAGCAAAAAAGUUCAUUUACUGGGUCGAGAGGAGAGGGGAAGGCCGACGGAGGAAAGCACGGUCCCCCCCUUAUUCGGGGGGAGCGCUGACCCCGGAGCUGGAGCGUCGCUCCGGCUGUGGUGGCUGCGUGGGGUUGUGCGUGGUCAACUCCUCCCGCGCCAUCGCCCUCCCCUCCCCCCAACCCGCCCCCUUGAGAGCGCGUGUAACGGAGGGCGGAGGAAUGGGUGUGGGUCGCCAGCCAGAUCAGGCGUUCUGCCACCUCCGCCCCUCCCCCGGCGUCCCGGGGCUCGGCGCCCCCUGG